AUUGAACGCUGGCGGCAGGCCUAACACAUGCAAGUCGAACGAGUGGCGGACGGGUGAGUAAUGUCUGGGAAACUGCCCGAUGGAGGGGGAUAACUACUGGAAACGGUAGCUAAUACCGCAUACCAUCGGAGGUGCCCAGAUGGGAUUAGCUAGUAGGUGGGGUAACGGCUCACCUAGGCGAAGAUCCCUAGCUGGUCUGAGAGGAUGACCAGCCACACUGGAACUGGGAAACGGUCCAGACUCCUACGGGAGGAAGCAGUGGGGAACAUUGCACAAUGGGGGAAAGCUGGAUGCAGCCAGGCCGCUGGUAGGAAGAAGGCCUUCGGGUUGUAAAGUACUUUCAGCGGGGAGGCGGUACCCACAGAAGAAGCACCGGCUAACUCCGUGCCAGCAGCCGCGGUAAUAC
rnacentral:rRNA from 1 species